AGUGAACGCUGGCGGUAGGCCUAACACAUGCAAGUCGAACGGCAGCACAGUAAGAGCUUGCUCUUACGGGUGGCGAGUAGCGGACGGGUGAGGAAUACAUCGGAAUCUACUUUUUCGUGGGGGAUAACGUAGGGAAACUUACGCUAAUACCGCAUACGACCUCCGGGUGAAAGCAGGGGAUCUUCGGACCUUGCGCGAUUGAAUGAGCCGAUGUCGGAUUAGCUAGUUGGCGGGGUAAAGGCCCACCAAGGCGACGAUCCGUAGCUGGUCUGAGAGGAUGAUCAGCCACACUGGAACUGAGACACGGUCCAGACUCCUACGGGAGGCAGCAGUGGGGAAUAUUGGACAAUGGGCGCAAGCCUGAUCCAGCCAUACCGCGUGGGUGAAGAAGGCCUUCGGGUUGUAAAGCCCUUUUGUUGGGAAAGAAAAGCAGCAGGUUAAUACCCCGCUGUUCUGACGGUACCCAAAGAAUAAGCACCGGCUAACUUCGUG
rnacentral:rRNA from 1 species